UGCUUAACACAUGCAAGUCGAACGCAUGCUAGGUGCUUGCACCUAGUGAUGAGUGGCAGACGGGUGAGUAACACGUGGGAACUUACCCUUUAGACUGGGACAACCAUUGGAAACGGUGGCUAAUACCGGAUAAGCCCUGAGGGGGAAAGCCGAAAGGCGCUAAAGGAGAGGCCCGCGGCAGAUUAGGUAGUUGGUAGGGUAAAGGCCUACCAAGCCGAUGAUCUGUAGCUGGUUUGAGAGGAUGAUCAGCCACACUGGGACUGAGACACGGCCCAGACUCCUACGGGAGGCAGCAGUGGGGAAUAUUGGACAAUGGGGGAAACCCUGAUCCAGCAAUGCCGCGUGAGUGACGAAGGCCUUAGGGUUGUAAAGCUC
rnacentral:rRNA from 1 species